rnacentral:rRNA from 1 species
GACGAACGCUGGCGGCGUGCUUAACACAUGCAAGUCGAACGGAAAGGCCCCUUUUGCGGUACUCGCGUGGCGAACGGGGGUGUAACACGUGAGUAACCUGCCCUUGUCACCUUGAUAUCUUCAUGGAACUGUGGCUAAUACCGUGUAGAAAUCCUUGCUGCAGGGGGGGUGGUGGAAAGAUUCGGCGGUGUUGGGUGUACGCGCGGCGUCUGUGCGUGUUGGUGGGGUGGUGGCUUAUCACGGCGUUGCCGGGUAGCGGGCCUGAGAGGGGGAGCGGCCAUAUUGGGACUGAGAUACGGCACAGACGCCUACGGGGGGCAGCAGUGGGGAAUAUUGCAAAAGGGGCGGGAGCGAGAUGCAGAAACGCCGCGUGGGGGAUGAGGGCCCUGGGGUUGAAAACCGCUUUCAGAAGGGGAGAAGCUUGUGGUGACGGUACCUGCAGAAGAAGCACCGGCUAACUACGUG